rnacentral:rRNA from 1 species
UACGUAGGGGGGCAAGCGUUGUCCGGAAUUAUUGGGCGUAAAGAGCGUGUAGGCGGCCAGAUAAGUCCGCUGUGAAAUCUCGAGGCUCAACUUCGAGCUGUCGGUGGAAACUAUCUGGCUAGAGUCCGGAAGAGGAGAAUGGAAUUCCUGGUGUAGCGGUGAAAUGCGCAGAUAUCAGGAAGAACACCCGUGGCGAAGGCGGUUCUCUGGGACGGUACUGACGCUGGAGAACGCGAAAGCUAGGGGAGCAAACAGG